rnacentral:lncRNA from 1 species
AGAAAAAUGAGUGACUUGCCUGCUCAUCUCAGUGACCUGCUUGUCCCUAAGUGACCUCGUCUUUCAGUGGCCUCUUCUCAGCUAAGGAAGACACCCCCAGAACCCAUCUAGGGAGGAGUAGCUGCCAGACAAGGAGAGUGGAAUUUCAGNCUUUACUUUGAGGUGUAGCUGGGGCAAGAGCAGAGCUCAUANAUGGAGAGAGCCACCACUCAGGAACAAGCUAUGAGAAGAAACAUCACCAACCAAGCAUUCGAAGAAACCCACAUGCCUGUGACUGCCUCAGCCCAUGCAAUGGAUAUUAGUCCUGCCUAUAGCUUCUGGGGUGGUAUGAGGAAAGGAUACCUAACCGAUCCAUACCUGAGCUUUGCCACCAGUGUCUCCUAUGUUACCUACAAAGUUGAAAGCAUCCCGAUAACAACUUGCCCACUCCCCAUUGCUUUCACAUGGGUAUCCUUUGACUAUAAUAUGAGGCAGGCUGUUGCCGUGCCCUCUAUAUGGUCCAGGCAGGUCUCUGACUUCUAUCACCAACUCGAGAGCCUGUGCCCAGAUGCCAUGGCACCCAACGCAUUUCUCUGUAGUCUCAAGGCAAUCCUACCCUCAUUCCUUUAAUUUUUCUCUCUUUUGCCAAUGACAUUUCUAGCCAUUGUCCCCAAGUUCAGUACUAGAUUCUAACCUGCCUGGAAGGGUAGAAGAGGCCUUGGGAUGGUAUGUGAGCAGCCNAGAUACCUGUCAGUCCAGCCCUCAAAUGUUUGCCCCUUCAACUCAGCAACCCCAACUGCCUACCCUGCAAAAUCCCGGCCUCUUGGAGCAGCUGGCAGCCAGCCUCUACUGCCUGAAGGGUCUCAGCCAUGAUGCCCCACCCCCCCAUGCUCACAUGCCUUUCUGGCCUCCAAGGGGCCCAUUGGUUCUUUUGUUUUUCUUUUUUUCUUCUGAACUCAUUAUUGGCACCUUUUCUCCCAGCUUCUGUUCCGGACCAGUUAUCACUUGUUAUUUACCUGGGCAGAUAAACUUUGUAUAUAAAUGUUUUUUUGUAAACAAAACAAAACUACACAACCACUAAGCUGCGAAAGCUGUAAACUAUCAGGAUCCACCACCUACACUAGGCCCUCCUUUGCACUGAAAUGGAUCUCACUGUACAGUACCUGGGUAUCCCGUGUACUCCCGAGUCUCCAGUGCUUAUACAUGAAUGCCCUGGGGCAGUUAUCUCAGGUGGCUUCUUCCUAUACCCUCAGUGUGGUCAAGGGAGGCCACCAGCUUUUAUCACCAACUUGAGAGCCAGUACAAUAGAGUCCAAUAUGCUACCUUGUUUCAUGGGAUUCCCACCCNCGACUUCCUCAGGCUUUCCAAGCCUCUGCCCAGUCAGUCCUCUUCCUUCAGAGAAGGUCCUUUACUCCCUGGCUGCCAUGUAGUGUCCUCAGAGCAUCCUGGGACCACAGAACCCAGCAGGCACUCCCCAAAAUCUCUUUAAAAGCCCCACUUAAUGGAGGAUGGACUUGGGGCAGGGGUGGGAUGGGGAGACAGGAGCCACAAGUUCACUGCACACACACACACACACACACNNNNNNNNNNNNNNNNNNNNNNNNNNNNNNN